ensembl:miRNA
GGAGGAUCCCUUGAGCCGGGAGAUGGAGGUUGCAGUGAGCUGAGACUGCGUCACUGCACUCCAGCCUGGG